CGGAAGGUCCGGGCGUUAUCCGGAUUUAUUGGGUUUAAAGGGAGCGUAGGCCGGAGAUUAAGCGUGUUGUGAAAUGUAGACGCUCAACGUCUGCACUGCAGCGCGAACUGGUUUCCUUGAGUACGCACAAAGUGGGCGGAAUUCGUGGUGUAGCGGUGAAAUGCUUAGAUAUCACGAAGAACUCCGAUUGCGAAGGCAGCUCACUGGAGCGCAACUGACGCCGAAGCUCGAAAGUGACGGGUAGUCGAACAAGGAUUGAA
rnacentral:rRNA from 1 species